rnacentral:rRNA from 1 species
UCGAGUGGCGAACGGGUGAGUAACACGUGAGUAACCUGCCCUUGACUUUGGGAUAACUUCAGGAAACUGGGGCUAAUACCGGAUAGGAGCUCCUGCUGCAUGGUGGGGGUUGGAAAGUUUCGGCGGUUGGGGAUGGACUCGCGGCUUAUCAGCUUGUUGGUGGGGUAGUGGCUUACCAAGGCUUUGACGGGUAGCCGGCCUGAGAGGGUGACCGGCCACAUUGGGACUGAGAUACGGCCCAG